rnacentral:rRNA from 1 species
UACGGGGGGGGGCAAGCGUUGUUCGGAAUUACUGGGCGUAAAGGGCUCGUAGGCGGCCAACUAAGUCAGACGUGAAAUCCCCUCGGCUUAACCGGGGAACUGCGUCUGAUACUGGAUGGCUUGAGAUUGGGAGAGGGAUGCGGAAUUCCAGGUGUAGCGGUGAAAUGCGUAGAUAUCAGGAGGAACACCGGUGGCGAAGGCGGUUCUCUGGGCAUGAUCUGACGCUGAGGAGCGAAAGUGUGGGGAGCGAACAGG